CAAGUGUCUAUCAAUAGAUGAAUGGAUAAAGAAGAUAAGUGGUAUAUAUGCACAAUGGAAUAUCAUUCAUCCAUAAAAAAGAAUGAAAUCUUGUCAUCUGCGACAACACGGAUAGAGCUAGAAAGUAUCAUGCUGAGCGAAAUAAGUCAGUCAGAGAAAGACAAAUACUGCAUGAUCUCACUCAUGUGUGGAAUUUAAGAAACAAAACAAAUGAGCAAAGG